GAUUAGGCCGGAGCCUAGACGCCAUACUCUAACUAUGUUCUGCUGUUGAAAUAAACAUUUAAAACGUGAGUUGUCUGACUGAAAUGGGCUUUUCUGUCCUUGUCGUUACAGUAGCCCAGCUGAAGGAGCGGCAGUGACAUCACCAGCACCUUACUGCAAACGUCAGAGAUUUUCAACUAGAAGCACUCGGAGCAGCCACUCGAAAAAUCCAGAGUGCUCUGAAAAAAGCCGCUAGGUGCCAAAGAACUUCACUGGCCUGCACAGAGCCCUGAUCUCAACCCUAUCCAACACCUUUGGGAUGAGCUGGAACAUCGACUACAAGCCUGGUCUCAUAUCAGUGCCUGACCUCACUAAUGCUCUUGUGGCUCAGUGGCAGAAAAUCCCUGCUGCCAGGUACCAAAAUCUUAUAGGAAGCUUUCCCAGAUAAAAAAGAGGCUGUUACAGCAGCAGAUUAACGGCAAUGAUUUUAGAAAUUAGACGUUCAAUAAUCAGAUGUUGGUCCACAUACUUUUGACUAUGAAUAGAAGACACAUGGAUUAAGGUGGAAACGUAAAACCACAUGACUCAUUACACAUAAACACCCCCACAAGUACUUCUCAACAGACGCCUGUUUUGCAUGAAUUUAAGGGAUAAAGAAAGCGAUGGGAGGAGAGGGUGAAGAGGUUGACACUGCACUCAUCCUCCUCCUCUGGGGUCCAGAGCAGCACAUCAUUUAUCAUCAGCUGGCAGGAUGUUUCUCAGAGAAAACAUCCACCGUGGAGAAUGCAUUCAUCUGCCUGCGUCUGAUAAUGAAACCGAAAUCUGACUGUGCAGCUGAUCAAAGCUGAACCUUAGCUGUACUGUGCAUCAACAUCCCGUGGUCCGUCCUCUCUGAUCAUGUUCAUUCAUUUUAAUAAAAA